rnacentral:rRNA from 1 species
GACGAACGCUGGCGGCGUGCUUAACACAUGCAAGUCGAACGGUGAAGCGCCUUCCUUUUUGGUGGGUGUGGAUGAGUGGCGAACGGGUGAGUAACACGUGAGUAACCUGCCCCCUUCUUCUGGAUAACCGCAUGAAAGUGUGGCUAAUACGGGAUAUUCUGGGUCUGUCGCAUGAUGGGUCUGGGAAAGAUAUUGUUUCGGUGGGGGAUGGGCUCGCGGCCUAUCAGCUUGUUGGUGGGGUGAUGGCCUACCAAGGCGGUGACGGGUAGCCGGCCUGAGAGGGUGGACGGGCACACUGGGACUGAGACACGGCCCAGACUCCUACGGGAGGCAGCAGUGGGGAAUAUUGCACAAUGGGCGCAAGCCUGAUGCAGCGACGCCGCGUGAGGGAUGGAGGCCUUCGGGUUGUGAGCCUCUUUCGCCAGUGAAGCAGGCCUGCCUCGUUUGUGGGUGGGUUGACGGUAGCUGGAUAAGAAGCGCCGGCUAACUACGUG